UUCCUGCAUGUGGUGGAAAUGCUGGGCAUGGUAGACGUGAACUACUACUGAGGAACAGCGAACACCAGAAGUUCUAACAGGGUGUGAAGAAGAGGAUUAAUGACGAACCCAAGUUCCUUGCUCCCCACUUGAAAGGUCAGUGACCCAAGGACAAGUGGCUGGAAUGAAGAAAAGCAUUUGGACUUGCUGUGUAACUCAGGACUCGCCUGCCUCAGACUCUGCUGUGCCUGUCCCAGAACGUCAUAUGUUGAAAGGGUUAAGAAUCAAUGAGAGAGAGAAGAAGAGAAGGGAAGUAGAAAGGGAAGAAGCAAAGGUGUUGCACCGUUCACCAGCCUUCCGGCUGUUGCUCCAUCCUCCCUUCGUGCUGUGGACCCUGCUAAGUCAUGGAGACAGCACUCUAAGCUUCAGGUGGUUCAACAACACGGCAGGGCAAGAGCUGGUUCCUUGAAUAUAAACAUGAGAAAGUCCUCCAGACAUCAGGACAAAAUCUAAGUCUAUCUCGAAUUCAUUUUCUGAACUGAAAUUUGUAACCAGGUUUACUGUCCCAAAUGUUUUGUUUUUUGUUUGUUUACUUGUUUUGUUUUGUUUUGUUUUUUUACUCCCCCCCCCAA